CUCGCCAGGGCCGGAAGAAAGCAGCGACGACGAGGACUGGUGGG
rnacentral:SRP_RNA from 12 species